AAGGAGCAGAAAUAGUUAAGGCCUGGAAGAGGGUCAGGAUGUGCCUCUGUGAGGAAGUGUGUCAGGAACUCUCCCGGUGGGAUGCGGAUGCUGGCCUGGUCCUCUUCAGCCCCAGGAAGAGGAGUUAGAGCUUGCCGAUAUGUGUGCUAUUCGAGAUGGAGAAACCAAGGCUCAGAAGCAUGAAUUCUUUGGCUCUGAGGUUUCACGGCCAUCAGGGGCAGAAACCAGUUUUAACAAGAGAGGUUGAUCAUCGCCGGUCCAACUCAUACCUUCUCCUCCCGGAAGCUACCCCAGGCUGCACGAAGACAGUAGCCCUGCUGGCCACCAGACGACCUAGCCCUCCUCCUCUUGAGGUGGGCAUCUGAUGCAAGGACAGCCUUUCCACAGAUAGGGGGAAGGCUGGCCAACCAUUCUGGUUUGUGUUGGACUGGGGGGUUCCCAGAAGGCAGGACUUUCAGUGCUAAUUCCAGAAAAGUCCUGAGCCAACUAGGACAAGUUGUUCACUCAGGCAGGAAGGGACUUAUGACCUGUGAGCUCGGGUUCCAAACCACAGAAUAGGCAAUCAGGUUCUCAGAAACUGGGAAACUAAAAGACUGGGCCCGUCACCUGAAAUAGAAGGGCCAUGGUAUAGAAAAAGGGCAAGGAGAGUUGAAGAGCUGCCGUGUUGAUCACAUGGAAACAAAACUUACGAGCAGAGACUAUGAGCAAGGAGAGGACACUGACCGUAUUUUAGGAAAACUGACUUUCAGUAGCUUCUUCCUUAAAAACCACCGUGGCCAAUUGCAGAUCCUUGUGGAGACUCUUUCCAGAUGCUUCUGUCUGUCUGCUGCUGCUGCUGCUUCUGCUUUCAUUGCCAAGGAAAGGGCUACAGCAGACUCUUCCGUAUGAAAGCAAGUUCUCUCCCAAUCAUGCUGCUUAUCUUCCGAAUUGAAACGAAAUGAGCAAAAUCCAGCACACUUAGAAAUUUCAAGUUGGGAAACCCCAGAGUGACUCUUCUUGACUCCCACCUCACAUUUUUGGAGCUCAGUAAGCUCUUAAUCAGCCAAAGCUGAGGUAGCAGACUGUUUUUCCCAAAGAGAGCCGUGACAACAUUUCCCAUCUCUCAUCCUCUUCUUACACCGUCUUAUUUGACACCUUGUGGCUACUAUGAAUGUUGGCUGCUGAUGGCUCACAGCUGAUCCCAGUCCAGAGACGUGCCCUUGGCCCAUGGGAGCCUUCUCUCCCAGAGGAAUAUGCCGACCCCCAAGGGAACACCCAGCCCAAGCCAAGCUGACACAGGGGUACAAAAGGCCAGCCUCAUUGCGUCACAGAGGACCAAUCCAGUGGCACGAUUCUUGCUUCACUACUUGUUGGGAUCAGGCUGUUUCUCAUCUCCAGCUGAGGCCACAUCCUUGCUGAGCGUGCCCCCCACCUUGCACCCCUUUUUUCUUUCCUCUCUCCUUUCCCCGUGUAAGUACUUCCUUAACUAAGAAUCCCCCACUCAAGGGUAUUUCUGGAGAUCCCAACCCAGGACACGCUUCCGGGGAAAGUAACAAUUGUGCACUUUCGACUGAAAUCUAUGUGUGAUUUUUUUGUGAUUGGC